GGCAGUGCAUUAUCGUAAACACCUCAUCGCUUCCGCUAAGAUAGUGCAGAAGUCCCAAUCAGACUCGACAAUUGUCUUUCUCGAGUAAACAUCUAGCUUGCUUCAAUCUCUCUUUUGUCACAAUUACCGCAAGUUUUCAGUCUAUGUUCUCUCAAGCCAGUUCUCAUUCACUGUGACUGCGUGAAAAAGCUCUAAUUAACAGACUGUCAAUCUACAAGCACAUGCGGUAACGUCAUGUCACGAUAUGCCGUAACCUACUGCGCAUGACCAAAAGCAAUUCACGCGAAACAUCAGUGGCCCACAAACAAAACACUAUAAGCAGCAGGAGUAACCUUACCAGGAACGUGCAGAAGCAAGAAUUCGAAAUGGAUUGGAAUCCAAGAGUCUGAAUCUGUGAGGCAAAACAGAUUCAAAACGUCUUCAAAAAUGCUCCUUCGAUAGGAUAUUUAAGAAAACAGAACGUUUGAUUGCUUCAAGGACGAAAACAGAAAUGAAUACCAAAAAGAACUGAGAAAGUCAGAGAAGAAACUGAAUGUCUAGUCUAAGUCAAACGCCGAGAGAGCACGGCUUACUUCAUCCCUUUUAAUUUAUUUUUCUCUGUUUUAUUUAAUCUUUUGAUAUCGUGUGAGCUCCCAACGAGUUUUCCCGCUGUUUGUCUCACUUAAUGAUGCUUGGAAAAUGUUUUCCUUAUAUAAAUAUUUCCACAAUUAA